AGCGGACGAGGAAUUCCGGUCGCCAUGCACUCCAGCAGAGCCGUACUGUGAACCGCCACAGUGAGAUUCUGCGGACCAGCAAUGAUACGAGGCCUUUGAGGAACUCUGGGAAACGGAGCUAUUGAAAAGUAUAAAGAUGAAGUGAUUGUCAGUGAUGGUAAAGCAAUACGAGUGUGUAAGUGUUUUCUGAAAGCGGAUCAUUACCAAGAGCCCUUAAAAGAUCUUUUAGUGCAGAGAAAUGACAGCAGAGCAAAGAAUGCUUCGCCUGUGAACAGAAGGGAAGAAUGCUAAGCCUAAAAAGCUCCAGAUCAAUCAGGGUUCGUCCAGCCAGCAGGCGACUUACAGCCCCAGACCACAGGACCCCCUCCGGCCAAUCAGGAGUUAAAAUCAGCCCCUCUCUGGCCAAUCAGAAGCCACGCUCAGGACCUCUCCCUGUGGCCUUUAGCCUUUCAGCCGCAUGGGCAGUUACAGAGCGGGCAGGGAGGCUGCUGAAUUCCCCGAGACCCUUAUCUUCCCCCCGAGCUCAGAAAACAGCAUGGCUAUUGUGUCUUAUCUGAUCCGCCGAAGAGCAACAGGUCAAACGGUCAAACAGAGAGCAUUAUCUGUGAUCAAAUAAAUGUAGAGUAGCACUCUCCUUAGAAAGCAUUUUAUGUGCACUCAUGAUACAGACAUAAUGCCAUGCAUUUGGCCAAAUUAUAGGACAGCGUGCAUGCAAUCCCAUAAUGCAUUGUGAUUGUGUUGGUUAUAAUCAUGCAUAUAAUUCAGUAUAACUGAAUACCAAAAAUGUCAUGCAUUUCAAGUGAGGAGAGCUA